rnacentral:rRNA from 1 species
UGGUGGAGUGAUUUGUCUGCUUAAUUGCGAUAACGAACGAGACCUUGACCUGCUAAAUAGCCCGGCCCGCUUUGGCGGGUCGCCGGCUUCUUAGAGGGACUAUCGGCUCAAGCCGAUGGAAGUUUGAGGCAAUAACA